rnacentral:rRNA from 1 species
UGGGGAAUUUUGGACAAUGGGCGAAAGCCUGAUCCAGCAAUGCCGCGUGUGUGAAGAAGGCCUUCGGGUUGUAAAGCACUUUUGUCCGGAAAGAAAUCCUUGGCUCUAAUACAGUCGGGGGAUGACGGUACCGGAAGAAUAAGCACCGGCUAACUACGUGCCAGCAGCCGCGGUAAUACGUAGGGUGCAAGCGUUAAUCGGAAUUACUGGGCGUAAAGCGUGCGCAGGCGGUUUGCUAAGACCGAUGUGAAAUCCCCGGGCUCAACCUGGGAACUGCAUUGGUGACUGGCAGGCUAGAGUAUGGCAGAGGGGGGUAGAAUUCCACGUGUAGCAGUGAAAUGCGUAGAGAUGUGGAGGAUACCGAUGGCGAAGGCAGCCCCCUGGGCCAAUACUGACGCUCAUGCACGAAAGCGUGGGGAGCAAACAGGAUUAGAUACCCUGGUAGUCCACGCCCUAAACGAUGUCAACUAGUUGUUGGGGAUUCAUUUCCUUAGUAACGUAGCUAACGCGUGAAGUUGACCGCCUGGGGAGUACGGUCGCAAGAUUAAAACUUAAAUGAAUUGACGGGGUCAUAGCUGUUUCCU